UACGUAGGGUGCGAGCGUUGUCCGGAAUCAUUGGGCGUAAAGCGCGUGUAGGCGGCCCGAUAAGUCCGCUGUGAAAGUCCAGGGCUCAACCCUGGAAAGCCGGUGGAUACUGUCGGGCUAGAGUCCGGAAGAGGCGAGUGGAAUUCCUGGUGUAGCGGUGGAAUGCGCAGAUAUCAGGAGGAACACCAACGGCGAAGGCAGCUCGCUGGGACGGUACUGACGCUAAGACGCGAAAGCGUGGGGAGCGAACAGG
rnacentral:rRNA from 1 species